GAUUAGAUACCCUGGUAGUCCACGCCGUAAACGGUGGAUGCUGGAUGUGGGGCCCGUUCCACGGGUUCCGUGUCGGAGCUAACGCGUUAAGCAUCCCGCCUGGGGAGUACGGCCGCAAGGCUAAAACUCAAAGAAAUUGACGGGGGCCCGCACAAGCGGCGGAGCAUGCGGAUUAAUUCGAUGCAACGCGAAGAACCUUACCUGGGCUUGACAUGUUCCCGACGGUCGUAGAGAUGCGGCUUCCCUUCGGGGCGGGUUCACAGGUGGUGCAUGGUCGUCGUCAGCUCGUGUCGUGAGAUGUUGGGUUAAGUCCCGCAACGAGCGCAACCCUCGCCCCGUGUUGCCAGCGGAUUAUGCCGGGAACUCACGGGGGACCGCCGGGGUUAACUCGGAGGAAGGUGGGGAUGACGUCAGAUCAUCAUGCCCCUUACGUCCAGGGCUUCACGCAUGCUACAAUGGCCGGUACAACGGGAUGCGACGCGGCGACGCGGAGCGGAUCCCUGAAAACCGGUCUCAGUUCGGAUCGCAGUCUGCAACUCGACUGCGUGAAGGCGGAGUCGCUAGUAAUCGCGAAUCAGCAACGUCGCGGUGAAUGCGUUCCCGGGCCUUGUACACACCGCCCGUCAAGUCAUGAAAGUGGGCAGCACCCGAAGCCGGUGGCCUAACCCCUUGUGGGAUGGAGCCGUCUAAGGUGAGGCUCGUGAUUGGGACUAAGUCGUAACAAGGUAGCCGUACCGGAAGGUGCGGCUG
rnacentral:rRNA from 1 species